UUGAUUUGCUUGAAAGAUUGGAGUUUAGCAAAAUCAAGGAUGCAAGAGGCUCAGCGUGAAAUGCAGCUAGCUGAAGAAAGGAGGCUCAUUAGGGAAGGACGACCAGAUUGGAUGGAAAAUAGUGAAGAUGAAGCUGGAAAUGAAGCUGGAAAUGAAUCUGAUGAUUCUGGAAUGGAGUCCGAUGAACAUGUGAGACAAGUUGAAUCCCAUGAGCUUUCAACCAAUAUCCCGCCUUAAUCUUGCUGGAAAUAAUGCACUCUUUCACACAUCACAGGCCAUUCUGGGUAUACAAGCCUUCUCCCUUCCUUUGUUUUUUCUAGCUGGUUGUCUAUGGGCAGAAUGGCAGAUUUGUUCACAGUUCACAUGAGCCUCAAUGUUGCCAAGCCAGAUGCGAAGAAGAGGAACAACCUUAUGGAAGACAACAUGCCUAAGUAGAUAUAGAAGUUGUAUUAUUAAUCUGCUUUUGUUUUAAG